GAAAUGCGAUAAGUAAUGUGAAUUGCAGAAUUCAGUGAAUCAUCGAAUCUUUGAACGCACAUUGCGCCCGGCAGUACUCUGCCGGGCAUGCCUGUUCGAGCGUCAUUUCAACCCUCAGGCCCUGCCUGGUGUUGGGGCCCUACGGCUGCCGUAGGCCCCGAAAGUUAGUGGCGGGCUCGCUGCAACUCCGAGCGUAGUAGUCUACACGUCUCGCUAUGGAGUACCGCGGCGGCGCUCCGGCCGGCAAAGACCACCAUCUUUAACCAAGGUUGACCUCGGAUCAGGUAGGAAUACCCGCUGAACUUAA
rnacentral:misc_RNA from 1 species